GCAGUCGAGCGAACGGAUAAGGAGCUUGCUCCUUUGAAGUUAGCGGCGGACGGGUGAGAAACACGUGGGUAACCUACCUAUAAGACUGGAAUAACUUCGGGAAACCGGAGCUAAUGCCGGAUAACAUUUGGAACCGCAUGGUUCUAAAGUAAAAGAUGGUUUUGCUAUCACUUAUAGAUGGACCCGCGCCGUAUUAGCUAGUUGGUAAGGUAACGGCUUACCAAGGCAACGAUACGUAGCCGACCUGAGAGGGUGAUCGGCCACACUGGAACUGAGACACGGUCCAGACUCCUACGGGAGGCAGCAGUAGGGAAUCUUCCGCAAUGGACGAAAGUCUGACGGAGCAACGCCGCGUGAGUGAUGAAGGUUUUCGGAUCGUAAAACUCUGUUAUUAGGGAAGAACAAAUGUGUAAGUAACUGUGCACAUCUUGACGGUACCUAAUCAGAAAGCCACGGCUAACUACGUGCCAGCAGCCGCGGUAAUACGUAGGUGGCAAGCGUUAUCCGGAAUUAUUGGGCGUAAAGCGCGCGUAGGCGGUUUCUUAAGUCUGAUGUGAAAGCCCACGGCUCAACCGUGGAGGGUCAUUGGAAACUGGGAAACUUGAGUACAGAAGAGGAAAGUGGGAAUUCCAUGUGUAGCGGUGAAAUGCGCAGAGAUAUGGAGGAACACCAGGUGGGCGAAGGCGACUUUCUGGUCUGUAACUGACGCUGAUGUGGCGAAAGCGUGGGGGAUCAAACAGGAUUAGGAUACCCUGGGUAGUCCACGCCGUAAACGAUGAGUGCUAAGUGUUAGGGGGGUUUCCGCCCCUUAGUGGCUGCA
rnacentral:rRNA from 1 species